CCUGAGAAACGGCUACCACAUCCAAGGAAGGCAGCAGGCGCGCAAAUUACCCAAUCCAGACAAUGGGAGGUGGUGACGAAGAGUMCCGGAGGACUGAAUAUUUUCAGUUAGUCUGGAAUGAAUACAAUUUAAGCAAUUGAGUUGAGAAACAACUGGAGGGCAAGUCUGGUGCCAGCAGCCGCGGUAAUUCCAGCUCCAGUAGCGUGUCUCAAAGUUGCUGCGCUUAAAACGCUCGUAGUUGGAUGAGAAACUAUAUAUUGGAAAGUUGCUUGUUGGAUCAUUAAUUGUGGUACUAUUUGUAUGUCUUUGGCAUCGUGUAGUUUCCACAAUUAACCUUCAGUAACAUACAACCGAUGUGUAGUAAUUGCGUGUGAGGAUGAUCAUUGACCUUGAGUGUGUUGAAGAUCGUGUCUCACGGGAUGUGCCUUGAGUAAAUCAGAGUGCUCAAAGCAGGCUAAUGCCUGAAUGUUUUUAGCAUGGAACGAACAAUAAUGUAGACGCGUAUUGAAAUCAGUAGUUGUUUCUAUUUCGAUAGAUCUUCUAMUUCAAUACGUAACAUCUACCGCCAAUCACGGAUGUUGGUUCCGUAUUGGGGUACUGAU
rnacentral:rRNA from 1 species